GAUGAACGCUGGCGGUGUGCCUAAUACAUGCAAGUCGAGCGAACAGACGAGGAGCUUACUCCUCUGACGUUAGCGGCGGACGGGUGAGUAACACGUGGAUAACCUACCUAUAAGACUGGGAUAACUUCGGGAAACCGGAGCUAAUACCGGAUAACAUGUUGAACCGCAUGGUUCAACAGUGAAAGACGGUCUUGCUGUCACUUAUAGAUGGAUCCGCGUCGCAUUAGCUAGUUGGUAAGGUAACGGCUUACCAAGGCAACGAUGCGUAGCCGACCUGAGAGGGUGAUCGGCCACACUGGAACUGAGACACGGUCCAGACUCCCACGGGAGGCAGCAGUAGGGAAUCUUCCGCAAUGGGCGAAAGCCUGACGGAGCAACGCCGCGUGAGUGAAGAAGGUCUUCGGAUCGUAAAACUCUGUUAUUAGGGAAGAACAAAUGUGUAAGUAACUAUGCACGUCUUGACGGUACCUAAUCAGAAAGCCACGGCUAACUACGUG
rnacentral:rRNA from 1 species